CUUUGUGUAUUGUGGAAGGAAGUUCUCAUUGAAGACAGUAUUGAUGUUGGCUGAUCAAAUGAUGACUAGAAUAGAAUAUGUGCAUUCCAAAGGUUUUCUACAUAGAGAUAUAAAGCCUGACAACUUCCUCAUGGGACUUGGUCGGAAAGCAAACCAGGUUUACAUAAUUGAUUUUGGGCUUGCAAAAUGAUAUCAGGACUCUACAACCAAUCGC